GAAUCUUGGAGUUAUCUUUGAUCAGGAUUUGUCAUUUAACUCCCACAUAAAGCAGACCUCUAGGACCGCCUUCUUUCAUUUACGUAAUAUUAGAAAAAUUAGACACAUCCUAUCACAGACAGAUGCAGAAAAACUAAUCCAUGCAUUUGUUACUUCAAGGCUGGAUUACUGCAACUCUUUAUUAUCAGGUUGCCCCAAUAAGUCCAUUAAAACGCUCCAAUUAAUCCAGAACGCUGACAGGAACUAGAAAAAGAGAUCACAUCUCUCCUGUACUAGCUCCUCUGCAUUGGCUCCCUGUAAAAUGUAGAAUAGAACUUAAAAUCCUCCUCCUCACCUAUAAAGCUCUUCAUGGUCAGGCCCCUUCAUAUCUUAAAGAGCUCAUAGUACCCUAUUACCCCUCUAGAACACUACGUUCUCUGAAUGCUGGGCUACUUGUGGUUCCUAUAGUCUCUAAAAGUAGAACAGGAGCCAGAGCCUUCAGUUACCAAGCUCCUCUCCUGUGGAACCAGCUUCCAGUUGUGGUUCGGGAGGCAGACACCCUCACCACAUUCAAGAGUAGGCUUAAGACAUUCCUCUUUGAUAAAGCUUAUAGUUAGGGCUGGAUCAGGUGAGUCCUGAACCAUCCCUUAGUUAUGCUGCUAUAGGCCUAGACUAUCGGGGGGAUUUCCCAUGGUGCACUGAGCUCCUCUCUUCCUCUCUCUCUUUCUGCACUCAUUCAUGUCCCAUUAAUGCAUGUUACUAACUUCACUUCUUCCCCGGAGUUCUUGUGCUUUCUCGUCUCGCAGGUUCUCAUGGAUCCUGGUGGAGCCUCCUGCCAUGGUCCUGCUUGACUGCCAUUGCCAAUACUGUUGUUGCUGUGCACCUGUCUGUCUGUCUGUCUGUCUGUCUGUCUCUCUCUCUCUCUCUCUCUCUCUCUCUCUCUCACCCCAACUGGUCGAGACAGACGACCACCCACCUAGAGCCGGAGGAUCUGUCCUAGGUUUCUGCCUUUUAACAGGCAGUUUUUCCUUGCCCUUGUCGCCAAGUGCUUGCUCAUGGUGGUACUGUUGGGUCUCUGUAAUUAAUGUUAAAGAGUUCGGUCUAGACCUGCUCUAUUUGAAAAGUGUCCUGAGAUAACUUCUGUUAUGAAUUGGCGCUAUACAAAUAAAAUUGAAUUGAAUUGAA